GAUGAACGCUAGCUACAGGCUUAACACAUGCAAGUCGAGGGGCAGCAUGGUCUUAGCUUGCUAAGGCCGAUGGCGACCGGCGCACGGGUGAGUAACACGUAUCCAACCUGCCGUCUACUCUUGGACAGCCUUCUGAAAGGAAGAUUAAUACAAGAUGGCAUCAUGAGUCCGCAUGUUCACAUGAUUAAAGGUAUUCCGGUAGACGAUGGGGAUGCGUUCCAUUAGAUAGUAGGCGGGGUAACGGCCCACCUAGUCUUCGAUGGAUAGGGGUUCUGAGAGGAAGGUCCCCCACAUUGGAACUGAGACACGGUCCAAACUCCUACGGGAGGCAGCAGUGAGGAAUAUUGGUCAAUGGGCGAGAGCCUGAACCAGCCAAGUAGCGUGAAGGAUGACUGCCCUAUGGGUUGUAAACUUCUUUUAUAAAGGAAUAAAGUCGGGUAUGGAUACCCGUUUGCAUGUACUUUAUGAAUAAGGAUCGGCUAACUCCGUGCCAGCAGCCGCGGUAAUACGGAGGAUCCGAGCGUUAUCCGGAUUUAUUGGGUUUAAAGGGAGCGUAGAUGGAUGUUUAAGUCAGUUGUGAAAGUUUGCGGCUCAACCGUAAAAUUGCAGUUGAUACUGGAUAUCUUGAGUGCAGUUGAGGCAGGCGGAAUUCGUGGUGUAGCGGUGAAAUGCUUAGAUAUCACGAAGAACUCCGAUUGCGAAGGCAGCCUGCUAAGCUGCAACUGACAUUGAGGCUCGAAAGUGUGGGUAUCAAACAGGAUUAGAUACCCUGGUAGUCCACACGGUAAACGAUGAAUACUCGCUGUUUGCGAUAUACUGCAAGCGGCCAAGCGAAAGCGUUAAGUAUUCCACCUGGGGAGUACGCCGGCAACGGUGAAACUCAAAGGAAUUGACGGGGGCCCGCACAAGCGGAGGAACAUGUGGUUUAAUUCGAUGAUACGCGAGGAACCUUACCCGGGCUUAAAUUGCAGAUGAAUUAUGGUGAAAGCUGUAAGCCGCAAGGCAUCUGUGAAGGUGCUGCAUGGUUGUCGUCAGCUCGUGCCGUGAGGUGUCGGCUUAAGUGCCAUAACGAGCGCAACCCUUGUUGUCAGUUACUAACAGGUUCCGGUGAGGACUCUGACAAGACUGCCAUCGUAAGAUGUGAGGAAGGUGGGGAUGACGUCAAAUCAGCACGGCCCUUACGUCCGGGGCUACACACGUGUUACAAUGGGGGGUACAGAGGGCCGCUACCACGCGAGUGGGUGCCAAUCCCCAAAACCUCUCUCAGUUCGGACUGGAGUCUGCAACCCGACUCCACGAAGCUGGAUUCGCUAGUAAUCGCGCAUCAGCCACCGGCGCGGUGAAUACGUUCCCGGGCCUUGUACACACCGCCCGUCAAGCCAUGGGAGCCGGGGGUACCUGAAGUGCGUAACCGCGAGGAG
rnacentral:rRNA from 1 species